UACGAAGGGGGCUAGCGUUGCUCGGAAUCACUGGGCGUAAAGCGCACGUAGGCGGCUUGUUAAGUCAGGGGUGAAAUCCUGGAGCUCAACUCCAGAACUGCCUUUGAUACUGGCGAGCUUGAGUUCGGGAGAGGUGAGUGGAACUGCGAGUGUAGAGGUGAAAUUCGUAGAUAUUCGCAAGAACACCAGUGGCGAAGGCGGCUCACUGGCCCGAUACUGGCGCUGAGGUGCGAAAGCGUGGGGAGCAAACAGG
rnacentral:rRNA from 1 species